rnacentral:rRNA from 1 species
GACGAACGCUGGCGGCGUGCUUAACACAUGCAAGUCGAGCGGUAAGGCCCUUUCGGGGGUACACGAGCGGCGAACGGGUGAGUAACACGUGGGUGACCUGCCCUUAGCUCUGGGAUAAGCCUGGGAAACUGGGUCUAAUACCGGAUAUGACUCCAUGACGCAUGUUGUGGGGUGGAAAGCCUUGUGCGGCUAGGGAUGGGCCCGCGGCCUAUCAGCUUGUUGGUGGGGUGAUGGCCACCAAGGCGACGACGGGUAGCCGGCCUGAGAGGGCGACCGGCCACACUGGGACUGAGACACGGCCCAGACUCCUACGGGAGGCAGCAGUGGGGAAUCUUGCGCAAUGGGCGAAAGCCUGACGCAGCGACGCCGCGUGAGGGAUGACGGCCUC